AUGCCCUUCUCGGAGGUAUCUUGCACCAAUUUGCGCAGACUUCAAGUUUAUAGGUGCCCCAAGAUGUCUCUGCCCUCCAUGCCUCACACCUCCACACUGACAGAUUUGAAAGUUAUAAGAGGUGAUGCAGAAAGGUUGUUGUCUUAUGAUGGAAAGCAAUUGGUUGUUAGAGAGUAUGGCGGUGCUUUGGCCUACCACAAUCUAGAUAAGGUAGAAGAUAUGACUAUUGCACAUGUAUCGCACAUAUCACUGAGAGACAUUGAAAAGUUUAAAUCCCUAACAAAAGUGUCUGUCGGAAGAUGCGACGGUUUGUUCCCUGAAGAGCUGGAUGGCAGUAUUGUCUUCCAUUCAGUUAAGAGUCUCAGAUUAAAUGUAUCUCAUCUUACCAGCAGCAAAUCAUCAUCGUCAAAAGUGCUAAACUGUUUCCCAGCUAUUUCUGUGUUGGUGAUAACUAGCUAUGAGAAAUGUGUAAUGCAGUUGCCGUUGCCAUCAUCCAGCUCACUGCAGGAACUAACCUUCUGGGACUGUAAGAGGCUGGUUCUUGUGCCUGUGGAGGAGAAUGGAGGAGGAAUUCAAAGUUUUAGAUAG
rnacentral:rRNA from 1 species